rnacentral:tRNA from 1 species
CCGCGCUUAGCUCAGCUGGCUUAGAGCACCUGACUGUAGAUCAGGGGGUCCCCGGUUCAAGUCCGGGAGCGCGGACCA